CAGCCGCCGCGGUAAUACGUAGGGUGCGAGCGUUAAUCGGAAUUACUGGGCGUAAAGCGCACGCAGGCGGUUUGUUAAGUCAGAUGUGAAAUCCCCGGGCUCAACCUGGGAACUGCAUCUGAUACUGGCAAGCUUGAGUCUCGUAGAGGGGGGUAGAAUUCCAGGUGUAGCGGUGAAAUGCGUAGAGAUCUGGAGGAAUACCGGUGGCGAAGGCGGCCCCCUGGACGAAGACUGACGCUCAGGUGCGAAAGCGUGGGGAGCAAACAGGAUUAGAUACCCCAGUAGUCCCUGUCUCUUAUAC
rnacentral:rRNA from 1 species